ACCUUAUCCAGAGAAGGUGGAGGGACUGGCCCGAUGAAACCCGGCAACCGACAUGACGCUGUCCGAGCGCUUCCGGCGACGGACGUGCAGCGCGUGCACGGUGCUAAUUCCUGCAGAAACAAAAGUAUUCUGGAAGAUAAGGG
rnacentral:ncRNA from 2 species